rnacentral:rRNA from 1 species
UGGAUUAGUGGCGAACGGGUGAGUAACACGUGGGCAAUCUGCCCUUCACUCUGGGACAAGCCCUGGAAACGGGGUCUAAUACCGGAUAACACUCUGUCCCGCAUGGGACGGGGUUGAAAGCUCCGGCGGUGAAGGAUGAGCCCGCGGCCUAUCAGCUUGUUGGUGGGGUGAUGGCCUACCAAGGCGACGACGGGUAGCCGGCCUGAGAGGGCGACCGGCCACACUGGGACUGAGACACGGCCCAGACUCCUACGGGAGGCAGCAGUGGGGAAUAUUGCACAAUGGGCGAAAGCCUGAUGCAGCGACGCCGCGUGAGGGAUGACGGCCUUCGGGUUGUAAACCUCUUUCAGCAGGGAAGAAGCGAGAGUGACGGUACCUGCAGAAGAAGCGCCGGCUAACUACGUGCCAGCAGCCGCGGUAAUACGUAGGGCGCAAGCGUUGUCCGGAAUUAUUGGGCGUAAAGAGCUCGUAGGCGGCUUGUUGCGUCGGUUGUGAAAGCCCGGGGCUUAACCCCGGGUCUGCAGUCGAUACGGGCAGGCUAGAGUGUGGUAG